GUCUAGUGCAGUUUUGCAUUGUUCAUGUUCAACGUAUGACCGUUCAUCCUAUUUAAAAAUUUUUAUGAUUAAUAUUUUUUUAUUAUUAGAUGAUAAAACAUGAACAUUAUUUUAUGCGUGACUAAUUUUAUAUUUUUUUUUAUAAAUUUUUCAAAUAAGACGGACAGUCAAACAUUAGAAAUGGAUACCCAGGGCUGCAUUUAUU
rfam:Oryza sativa Japonica Group DNA, chromosome 2, cultivar: Nipponbare, complete sequence.